GAUGAACGCUGGCGGCGUGCCUAAUACAUGCAAGUCGAACGAGGUGCUUUUGUAGCAAUACGAGAGUAUCCUAGUGGCGAACGGGUGAGUAACGCGUUGGUGACCUACCCCAAAGUGUGGGAUAACAGUCCGAAAGGAUUGCUAAUACCGCAUGUGGUCUUCGGAUUUAGAAACUGAUGACUAAAGGAGCAAUUCGCUUUGGGAGGGACCUGCGUCCCAUCAGCUAGUUGGUGAGGUAAUGGCUCACCAAGGCUACGACGGGUAGGGGACCUGAGAGGGUGACCCCCAACAAUGGAACUGAAACACGGUCCAUACACCUACGGGUGGCAGCAGUAGGGAAUAUUGCACAAUGGGCGAAAGCCUGAUGCAGCAACGCCGCGUGUGCGAUGAAGGCCUUCGGGUCGUAAAGCACUUUUCUGAGGGAUGAGCAAGGACAGUACCUCAGGAAUAAGUCUCGGCUAACUACGUGCCAGCAGCCGCCGUAACAC
rnacentral:rRNA from 1 species